rnacentral:rRNA from 1 species
CCACACUGGGACUGAGACACGGCCCAGACUCCUACGGGAGGCAGCAGUGGGGAAUAUUGCACAAUGGGCGAAAGCCUGAUGCAGCGACGCCGCGUGAGGGAUGAAGGCCUUCGGGUUGUAAACCUCUUUCAGUAGGGAAGAAGCGAAAGUGACGGUACCUGCAGAAGAAGCGCCGGCUAACUACG